UACGUAGGGUGCAAGCGUUAAUCGGAAUUACUGGGCGUAAAGUGUGCGCAGGCGGCUAUGCAAGACAGAUGUGAAAUCCCCGGGCUCAACCUGGGAACUGCAUUUGUGACUGCAUGGCUAGAGUACGGCAGAGGGAGAUGGAAUUCCGCGUGUAGCAGUGAAAUGCGUAGAUAUGCGGAGGAACACCGAUGGCGAAGGCAAUCUCCUGGGCCUGUACUGACGCUCAUGCACGAAAGUGUGGGGAGCAAACAGG
rnacentral:rRNA from 1 species